rnacentral:tRNA from 1 species
GGAGAGAUGACCGAGUUGGCGAAGGGACAUGCCUGGAAAGCGUGUAAGGUCGAAAGGCCCCGUGGGUUCGAGUCCCACUCUCUCCGCCA